GUUCUUUUUACCCAGCAAAGUGCCUCCUCCAAGGUCCGCGAACCAUUGAGGGUUUUUGGGGGGUUUCAGGGCUGGGAGUAGAGAGAGCAUGAGUGAAGAUUGGACCACUCCCAGGACUAGACCAGAGAAUAGGAGAUUGCUGCUUACUGACUAUUAUAUUCCUACUACUCGACCUCUAGUAGGUGCACCCAUCUCUUGAGCAGAGACCCAAGAGGGCAGGACAGGAAGAAUGGAAGUGAGAUUUGGCCCCGGUCAUGUUUUCCAAAGUGCUGACAUCAGGAAAAUAAUAGAAGUUAACGCAGAUAUGGGGCUGCCACUGAGGAGAGAGAAGACUGAAAGAAGCAUAUAGAUAAAAGUUUCAGUUACCUGAGGUCAACCUUGGUCUGAAAUUAGAUUAUCUGAGUAGGCUGAACCAUCGGUGAAAAGGAGGCCAAGCAUCUCAAAAAUAGGACACGUGAGAGUAUGGAGCCAAUGUGACACUCAGAUUUGACACAUACAGAAGCGUGAAAAACUCUUGUGUGACUGGGAUAGCUCCUCUGCAAUGAGAACAUGCCUGGGAUAAUGUACUGAAAAGAUGUGAGAAAUACAUGAAGCAGAGUCCAGUCAUCCCAGCCAAGAACCAGCUGUGAAUGUAACCGCAUGACUUUGAGGCAAGUCCAGACCAAGAACAAAGAACCACUGGUCUUAAAGACAGACCUGCAGAUUCCUGAGCUAAAUAAAAGUUUAUUGUUGAAAGGCACUGAGUUGUUUUUG
rnacentral:lncRNA from 10 species